UACGGGGGGGGCAAGCGUUGUUCGGAAUUACUGGACGUAAAGGGCUCGUAGGUGGCCAACUAAGUCAUACGUGAAAUCCCUCAGCUUAACUGGGGAACUGCGUCUGAUACUGGAUGGCUUGAGUUUGGGAGAGGGAUGCGGAAUUCCAGGUGUAGCGGUGAAAUGCGUAGAUAUCUGGAGGAACACCGGUGGCGAAGGCGGCAUCCUGGACCAAUACUGACACUGAGGAGCGAAAGCCAGGGGAGCAAACGGG
rnacentral:rRNA from 1 species